GCAUGUCGGUCUGUGUGUGUGUGUCUCUGUAUGUAUGUGUCUGUAUGAUACAGACAUACAUACAGAGACACACACAAACAGACAA